GCAAAGUGCUAUUACAUUCCAAAGAAAUCUCAGUUUCUGGUUUCAAAUAGCGAAACACGGCUACAUGUCUAUAACAUCAAUGAGGAUGCAUAGCUCCAUUAUUUCUAAUUCAGAAGAGCAAUAAUAUUGCAGAGCAAUAUUACAUAACAUCCAGUACAGUCUCUUACCCUCAGUGUCACGAGAUUUUGGGUGAUACAAGUUUUACAUUUAGUUUAUCUAAAUGAAUGCCUGGAUAAUUUGAUGAUUUAGUGCAGACAAUGGGCCUUAAAAUUUUCA
rnacentral:lncRNA from 1 species